GCAUUGGUGGUUCAGUGGUAGAAUUCUCGCCUGCCACGCGGGAGGAUCAGGUUCGAUUCCCGGCCAAUGCA